rnacentral:rRNA from 1 species
AGUGAACGCUGGCGGUAGGCCUAACACAUGCAAGUCGAACGGCAGCACAAGAGAGCUUGCUCUCUGGGUGGCGAGUGGCGGACGGGUGAGGAAUACAUCGGAAUCUACUCUGUCGUGGGGGAUAACGUAGGGAAACUUACGCUAAUACCGCAUACGACCUACGGGUGAAAGCAGGGGACCUUCGGGCCUUGCGCGAUUGAAUGAGCCGAUGUCGGAUUUGCUAGUUGGCGGGGUAAAGGCCCACCAAGGCGACGAUCCGUAGCUGGUCUGAGAACAUGAUCAGCCACACUGGAACUUAGACACGGUCCAGACGACUACGGGAGUCAGCAGUGGGGAAGAUUGGACAAUGGGCGCAAGCCUGAUCCAGCCAUACCGCGUGGGUGAAGAAGGCCUUCGGGUUGUAAAGCCCUUUUGUUGGGAAAGAAAUCCAGCUGGCUAAUACCCGGUUGGGAUGACGGUACCCAAAGAAUAAGCACCGGCUAACUUCGUGCCAGCCGCCGCAGUAA